rnacentral:lncRNA from 1 species
GAGAAUGAGCUUGGAGCCGCAGGGCUUAAUCCCGCGCGGCUCAGAGAUGGGUUUCUGGACUCGCGAAGCAGCUGCAACAAGGCAUCACUCACUGUAUAAGUAUUUCCAUUUCUGAGAGCAAAAGGAAGAACUUAAGCGGGCGGCACUUGGAGUGUAAAUUGCUUUGUAGUAUUUAAAGGCAGAAUGGAUCCUGGGCAGCCGAGCUGCAACAAACCGGCAGGACUUCCUGUGAAAUCAUGACCACCAUGUGCUCUUUCAGCCUCUAUCAGUUCCUACCUCUAAGCACCUGAGAGCCAAAGCAAACCACAGGAAACCACAGGUACUAACUCUUUUAGACCUGAUGAAGUGUCUCCCAAAUACAGUCUGGCAUGGCCUUUGGAGUCAGACUGGAACUACAGCAUUGACUCUUCCGGAACUCCAGCUUACUGACUACAGAUCUUGGAACUUUUCAGCUUCCACAACCAUGCUUUGGUAUCAGGAUGAUGCUGGCCUCAUAAAAUGAGUCAGGGAGGAUUCCCUCUUUUUCUAUUGAUUGGAAUAGUUUCAGAAGGAAUGGUACCAGCUCCUCUUUGUACCUCUGGUAGAAUUCAGCUGUGAAUCCAUCUGGUCCUGGAGUUUUUUUGGUUGCUUCUUUGGACCUUUUAAGUUGCAUUAUCCCAUAAAAUGUGGUGGAUUCAAUGUUGUAUGGCCUGUAAAACUAAGUAAUGAAGGCUGAUAUGUACCCACCUGGCUCUGUCUUGGGAUCACACAACUUGGGAGCCAAAACAGGUGAGGAUGGGGAGGUGUCAAACAAGACCUAACCUCUCAACAAUCAGCUGGACACUGUUGUGUAAGAAUGUGAAGCUUGGCACUGCUGCAGCCAUCUUGUUCCAGGAAGGGUAAAACCUGAGGUUAGAAGCCAACAUCCUAAUGAUGGCAGAGAAGACAAAGAGAACCAGAGUCUAAAUGACAUUGUUGAGUUAGAUCACUACACUACCUCUAGUCUUCUUUUUAUGUGUGAUAAUAAAUCUCACUUAUACU